GACGAACGCUGGCGGCGUGCUUAACACAUGCAAGUCGAACGGAAAGGCCCUGCUUUUGUGGGGUGCUCGAGUGGCGAACGGGUGAGUAACACGUGAGUAACCUGCCCUUGACUUUGGGAUAACUUCAGGAAACUGGGGCUAAUACCGGAUAGGAGCUCCUGCUGCAUGGUGGGGGUUGGAAAGUUCCGUCGGUUGGGGAUGGACUCGAGGCUUAUCAGCUUGUUGGUGGGGUAGUGGCUUACCAAGGCUUUGACGGGUAGCCGGCCUGAGAGGGUGACCGGCCACAUUGGGACUGAGAUACGGCCCAGACGGCAACGGGAGGAAACAGUGGGGAAUAUUGCAAAAUGGGCGGAAGCAUGAUGCAGCAACGCCGAGUGCGAGAAGACGGCCUUCAGGUUGUAAACAGCUUUCGCCUGUGACGAAGCGUGAGUGACGGUAAUGGGUAAAGAAGCACCGGCUAACUACGU
rnacentral:rRNA from 1 species